AAAAAAAUCUAUAAACACAGAUAUAAAAAGCUACUGUUGCCUCUGUUCAAGUUCCCAUCACAUGUGACCUGAUUUUCUUAUCUUCUGUGAUGUCUGGACCCUUAUUUCCCAGAGAAAGCCAAGGCGAAUUGCUUUCAGGAGUCUCUAUCUCUGUCUGCAAACCAAACCCAGUUUGCCCAUUAGGCAGACAUCUGGUGUGGAGACCACGGCAAAACUUCCUCAUGGAGCCUCAAUCUGAGUGGAAGGCCAAGCUGUACUUGGUCAGAAUUCAUCUGGAGAUCAAGAGGAGGAGAAGGAAAGAAAGCACAUUGGUCCAUAUCGAUAACAUGGGCAUGAAUGUUGACCAAAAAACAUUUCUGAGACAGUUUCUCCAGGGAUGAGAGUAGGCAGUCACCUCCUGGUAAGUGUUUGGCUGCUGCUAGGACUCUGAAAUAGGUUGGACAAAGGCUCCCACCACCUGAUCUUCACCAAGAGAAGCAGGAGUAGAGCCAGUGGCAGUAAGAGGACUAAGUGGAAACAUCUUUGUUUUAAUUUGAAGAAGGUAAACAAGUCUACCUGUCUUCUAAAAUGUUUCUUUUGUUGGCACCAAAACUAAUGCUUUGUUUAACACACAUGGGGUUUUGGUUCCAUGAGUCUCUUGUUGAAAUGGGUAAGUUACCUUUGGGUAUAAUCAAACUCUAACCUAUUCUUUUAUUAUUGAGGCUGGAGUAUCUUAGAAGCUAUCUAGUUCCCUAUUCCUUCAUUUUGAAUAUUUGGCUCAAGAUGAAAAAUAAUUUGCAGGGUGUGAGACAGUCAGCACCUGAAUUUAGAUCUCUUGAUUUCUCAUCCAGAAUUCUUUUCAUCUUAGCACACUAUCUUCUGUCCAGUGAUAAGUAUUAUAAUAUUCUGAAAAGGAUAAAACACAAUUUUUUUA
rnacentral:lncRNA from 1 species